GGCGUGGACUCAGAGGGGCAAGAGAGACCGGAGACCAGAACCCACAGAGACCCUUGACUGGGCCACAGGCAUGAACUAAGAGUGCUGAAGACCCAGGAGAACCACUGGUCAGGUCAGCUCCCAGCUCCACAGGGAGUAAAGGAGCUGCAGGUACAGCAGGCUGAAAGUCCACCAAGGGCUGAGGCCACAAGGCCUCUGGGGCAGCCACAGUUUUCAUGAUCACAUCACACAGGACUGAGAAGCAGAUAACAAGAGUGACACUCACAGGCGUAGGCAUAGACACAUCGGGGCCUAAGGGGAGAGGAACUCUCCCUAGGCACACAGAUUGCUCUCAGGCUGGGCUGACGCUAAGAGGAGGCAGUGUGUGGCUCGAAGAUUCUUGAACCCACAGCAGCAGCUGCGGCCACCCCAUCCUGCCCACAGCUCCAGCCCUGAGACCACGAGGAGACUCGACUUUGCCUCUUGCCCAAGGGACCAUGCCCAGGUGCCGGUGGCUCUCCCUGAUCCUCCUCACCAUUCCCCUGGCCCUGGUGGCCAGGAAAGACCCAAAGAAGAAUGAGACGGGGGUGCUGAGGAAAUUAAAACCCGUCAAUGCCUCAAAUGCCAACGUGAAGCAGUGUCUGUGGUUUGCCAUGCAAGAAUACAACAAAGAGAGCGAGGACAAGUAUGUCUUCCUGGUGGUCAAGACACUGCAAGCCCAGCUGCAGGUCACAAAUCUUCUGGAAUACCUUAUUGAUGUAGAAAUUGCCCGCAGCGAUUGCAGAAAGCCUUUAAGCACUAAUGAAAUCUGCGCCAUUCAAGAAAACUCCAAGCUGAAAAAGGUAGGUGAUGAACCACUCGUCUGUGACGGCCUAGGCAGCUCUGAGCCCAAGAGAGAAAGCUGAGGCACACAGACCUUCUCUUUGAGGUCUGGGUGGCUCCCAGUGUUUAGCCCCAGAUAGCCAACCCUGUGGCCUUUAGAGCAGAAGAUCCAGGGCCACGGAACGUGGUGAAACCCUCUGAGCUUCUUUCUCAUCCUUCAUCCUACAGAAAGGAUGUUGUCAAGACCACUCUUAUCUCAAGGGCUGCAUUGACUUCUGGCCUUUUGAUGCAGGCACACUGGACAGCACAUAAUCACCAAAAGCCUGUCAUCUUGGGUCCAGACAAGCCACCCACUAUUGCUGGGCCCACGGUCACUCAUCCCCAUACAGACACAAAAGGAACUUCAUUCAUUCACUCAUCCACUCAUAGAAAAUUACUGAGCACCAGGUGCUACGUGCUUUGCACCAGGUCUAUUCUGGGUGCUGGAGAUUAAGCAAUGACUAAGCCAGAGGGUGGCCCCACCCUCCUGGGUUUACAGUUGAUUUUUGCUGGGGUCAGUCCAGGUUUCCAGGAAGGUUGGGGCAAACCCAAAGACUCCCAACGAAAGGAGGACUUGGCCCAGGGGCUUUUGGCUUCAAGGCUGUAUUUUUUAAUCUCAGAGCAGCUCAUAGGCCAGUACUUGGUCCCAGACAGAUGAAGGCCUGAGCAUUCUGCAGGUUUGCCCAACAGGUGCAUCACUGUCCCUGUCUUUACAUUGGUGGUUCUCCAAUGUGAGCAGGCAUCACAAUCACUUGGAGAUAUUGACAAACCCUGAUGACUGGGUUCCACCGGCAGAGUUUCCAAUUCAGGAAAUGGGGUCUAAGAAUUUGCAUUCUUAAUGAGUUCCUGAGUGGUGCUACUGCUGCUGCUGCUGCUGGCCUUAGGAUCAUUUUGAGAACCACUGCUUUAUGCACUGCCACAGCACAGGAAAUUGCAGAACAGAGAUCCCUCUGGGCAACUGCUGAUGGCCAUGAAGUCUGCAGCCUCUAGCUCUGCAGAUUCCUGGGAGCUCACUCGAGAGUGGUGACCCAUCUGUCAGCAUACGCCUAAACUGACACUUAGCAACAGGACAAUUGUUUUUCUUUUCUUUUCUUUUUUUUUUUUUUUUGGCACUCUACUAAUUUUUGUUGUUGUCAUCUUUUUCAGAAAUUAAGCUGCAGCUUUUUGGUAGGAGCACUUCCCUGGAAUGGCGAAUUCACUGUGAUGGAGAAAAAGUGUGAAGAUGCUUAAUGGUGUUUUGAGGCAUCCCUCCAACCUCUGUGACUACUUUAUCCAUGAAAAUAAAGCAAUGGCAGGUGG